UCCUCCGCUUAUUGAUAUGCUUAAGUUCAGCGGGUAUUCCUACCUGAUCCGAGGUCAACAUUCAGAAGUUGGGGUUUUACGGCAUGGCCGCGCCGCGUUCCAGUUGCGAGGUGUUAGCUACUACGCAAUGGAGGCUGCAGCGAGACCGCCAAUGUAUUUCGGGGGCGGCACCGCCAGAAGGCAGAGCCGAUCCCCAACACCAAACCCGGGGGCUUGAGGGUUGAAAUGACGCUCGAACAGGCAUGCCCGCCGGAAUACCAGCGGGCGCAAUGUGCGUUCAAAGAUUCGAUGAUUCACUGAAUUCUGCAAUUCACAUUACUUAUCGCAUUUUGCUGCGUUCUUCAUCGAUGCCAGAACCAAGAGAUCCGUUGUUGAAAGUUUUGAUUUAUUUGUUUGUUUUACUCAGAAGUUACAAUAAGAAACAUUAGAGUUUGGGUCCUCUGGCGGGCCGUCCCGUUUUACGGGGCGCGGGCUGAUCCGCCGAGGCAACAUUAAGGUAUGUUCACAGGGGUUUGGGAGUUUUUACACUCAGUAAUGAUCCCUCCGCUGGUUCACCAACGGAGACCUUGUUACGACUUUUACUUCCUCUAAAUGACCAAG
rnacentral:misc_RNA from 1 species